rnacentral:rRNA from 1 species
AUUGAACGCUGGCGGCAGGCCUAACACAUGCAAGUCGAGCGGAUGAAGGGAGCUUGCUCCUGGAUUCAGCGGCGGACGGGUGAGUAAUGCCUAGGAAUCUGCCUGGUAGUGGGGGAUAACGUCCGGAAACGGGCGCUAAUACCGCAUACGUCCUGAGGGAGGAAGUGGGGGAUCUUCGGACCUCACGCUAUCAGAUGAGCCUAGGUCGGAUUAGCUAGUUGGUGGGGUAAAGGCCUACCAAGGCGACGAUCCGUAACUGGACUGAGAGGAUGAUCAGUCACACUGGAACUGAGACACGGUCCAGACUCCUACGGGAGGCAGCAGUGGGGAAUAUUGGACAAUGGGCGAAAGCCUGAUCCAGCCAUGCCGCGUGUGUGAAGAAGGUCUUCGGAUUGUAAAGCACUUUAAGUUGGGAGGAAGGGCAGUAAGUUAAUACCUUGCUGUUUUGACGUUACCAACAGAAUAAGCACCGGCUAACUUCGUG